rnacentral:rRNA from 1 species
UAACGCGUGGGUAACCUGCCUUACACUGGGGGAUAACACUUAGAAAUAGGUGCUAAUACCGCAUAAUAGGAGAAGACGCAUGUCUUAUCCUUGAAAACUCCGGUGGUGUAAGAUGGACCCGCGUCUGAUUAGCCAGUUGGCGGGGUAACGGCCCACCAAAGCGACGAUCAGUAGCCGGCCUGAGAGGGUGAACGGCCACAUUGGGACUGAGACACGGCCCAAACUCCUACGGGAGGCAGCAGUGGGGAAUAUUGGACGAUGGGGGGAACCCUGAUCCAGCGACGCCGCGUGAGUGAAGAAGUAUCUCGGUAUGUAAAGCUCUAUCAGCAGGGAAGAAAGAAAUGACGGUACCUGACUAAGAAGCCCCGGCUAACUACGUGCCAGCAGCCGCGGUAAUACGUAGGGGGCAAGCGUUAUCCGGAUUUACUGGGUGUAAAGGGAGCGUAGACGGCUGAGCAAGUCUGAAGUGAAAGGCGGGGGCCCAACCCCCGGACUGCUUUGGAAACUGUAUAGCUAGAGUGCAGGAGAGGUAAGUGGAAUUCCUAGUGUAGCGGUGAAAUGCGUAGAUAUUAGGAGGAACACCAGUGGCGAAGGCGGCUUACUGGACUGUAACUGACGUUGAGGCUCGAAAGCGUGAGGAGCAAACAGGAUUAGAUACCCUGGUAGUCCACGCCGUAAACGAUGAUCACUAGGUGU